rnacentral:lncRNA from 1 species
AGGUUCAGACCGGGGGUCGGGCGGGCGCCCCCGCCGCCGGCGGCAACGCUCUUGGUGCUCCCGCUCCGCUGCACCGGCGGCGGCGCCGGGCGCGCCCACGAGCUCACGCUCCGGGCGCGCUUCACCACCCUCGACGACGCCUGCGCCGCCGCCGGCCGCGCGUAGCUGGCGCUGUAGCUCCGGAUAUCCGCCGCGCCGCCGUACACGCUGCCCCUCUCCGCGCACGACACCGACCUCUCCAUUGGCAUCUUUCAAUCUCCCUCUCUCUCCUUCUGCUUCUCUCCCUCGGCGAGCUCUGCUCUGC